UGUGCCGCUGGCUUUAGUAUGACACAGUGCUCUCCGUUUUUCGCUCUAUCUGUUAUUCAAUGGACAAAGGUGAACUGAAAGUGGAUUGUGAGUGAUAUUUACCAAUUGUUAGCAAGAGGAAUUAUCGUUUACAGAAUUUCAUUUACAUUAUUUUUAAUAGAUAAAAAGAUAAACUGUCAAAGAUAAUUGUACUGGAACGAUAUGCAAUACUUAGUAAUAUUUUAUCAACAAACAUGACAGUUUUUUUGUCUUAGAUUAUUGGAAUUAAGAGAUAUAAAAGUAUUAAAAAAAGUGAAAUUAAACUGAUAAUAUCCCAAUAUCAUAAUAUCAAGAGGAUGUGUGUAUUAAAUUGAAUAUAAAACAUAUAUACAUACAUACGUACAAUAUAGUGUUCAUCUCAUUAUAUCUUUACAAAGAUAUUUAAGGGGAUGCUGGAGUCGUCAACGAACUUGCAAAGCGUCGAUAACGUAGAAGCGAUCGUCAAAAAGUAGGGAACGUUAUCAUGUGUUAUCGACGUUAGUGAAUUUUGGUACAUAUGUGUAUAUAUAUUUAUAUAGUAUUUCUAUAGUAAAGAUAAUUGCCGGAUAAGCGCUGAUGCGAUUACGCUAUCCUUUCGUCGCAUUUUUCCAUAUAUAUCUUUUCUCAUAGACUUCGGACAAAUGUGUGUGUGCUGCAUUGUCAUUUCGACUUUUCUACAUACAGAUCUUAUAUGAAUGUGAAUGCGACGCUGCCGAUAUUUGCAUUCUCUCUGAAAUGUGCAUUUUGCUGCUGCUUCUCGGAUUUUUCGACUCGCUGAUAUAUAUACAGCGUAACAUAAUAAAGAAUAAUUUGAGUAAUGAAUAUUAUUACACGAAAAUAAUUCUUCAGAAAUAGUAUACUUGUUUUCAAUAGUAUACUUGUAUAAAUCGGCUUCUCACUUUAUCGUGUCAGCGACUUCUUUUUGUAAAGUUUACGUCGCACUAGUAGUACGGAAAUGUUUUCGUACAGUAAAUAUUCUUGCCAAAAUAAAGCGGAGUAUUACAAAUCAUCCGAAAAAAGCGAUGGGAAACUAUUGCGAAUAGGACACCGAGUUCCUCCUGCAACGUUUACGUCGCACUGGAAGUACGGAAUUGAAAACACAUUCGCACAGUGAAUAUUCCUGUCAAAAUAAAAUGAAAUAAUAAAAAACAUGUUAGAAAUACGAUGAGAAACUAUUUCAAAUAGAAUACCGACACUUUAUUGCAAAGUUUACGUCGCACUGGCUGCACGGAAUGAAAAAGACUUUCGUACAGUGUAUAUUCCUGCCAAAAUAAAAUGGAAUAAUGCAAAUCAUCUGAGAAGAACGAUGAGUAAUUAUUGCGAUUAGGACAACGAGUCCUUCUUUACGUCGCCCUGGCUGUAUCAAAUUGAAAACCUUUUCACUUUGCAUAAUAAAUAUUCAUACGAAAAUAAAAAGGAGUAAUAAGAAACAUCUUGGAAAAAUGAUGAGAAACUAUUACGAUAGGACACCUGCUGUUUCUUGCAAAGUUUACGUCGCAUUCGACGCGCCGAAUUAAGAAUUCUUUUAUAAAGGUAAAGUACAUGUGUGGGAAUAUGAAACGGAGCAUUGCUCAAUAUGAAAUUAAUAUUCUAUAUCGGCCUAGAAAAACUUUAUAAUGUGUUUGUAAUUAAAAAUUUACGUCGCACUGACUGGACUGAAUUUCAAAUCCUUUUGCAUGGCAAUGUUUCGCUUCAUCUUUGCACGUAUUUUGACUAUGUGAAAGGACUUUGAUAAAGUGUGAGAGAGAGAGGA